GGCGUUGAGCUAACCAAUACUAAUUGCCCGUGAGGCUUGACCAUAUAACACCCAAGCAAUU
rnacentral:rRNA from 3 species